UACGUAGGGGGCAAGCGUUGUCCGGAAUCAUUGGGCGUAAAGCGCGCGUAGGCGGCCUCGUAAGUCCGUUGAUGAAAGUCAAAGGGCUCAACCUUUGAAAGCCGAUGGAUACUGUGAGGCUAGAGUCCGGAAGAGGCGAGUGGAAUUCCUGGUGUAGCGGUGGAAUGCGCAGAUAUCAGGAGGAACACCAAUAGCGAAGGCAGCUCGCUGGGACGGUACUGACGCUAAGGCGCGAAAGCGUGGGGAGCGAACGAGGA
rnacentral:rRNA from 1 species